GAUGGCUGUGAACCCUGAACUCAGUUCCUCACUGGCACUCAUCAUCCAGGGACACCAUCUGCCUCAUAGCAAGGACUUGAUGGUGAAGACGGUCCACAAUAUUCCCAGGAUGUUGGUUUACCUGCCCUCUCAGCUCAAUGUCCGCUCUCAGCUGAACCAGUCUCAGUCCAGUGUGGCGGGUUUGGUGGAGGUGAUAUCAGGCAGGAGAAGGCUGUGGGCUCUGGGGGAGCUGGCAGCUAUAGAGAGUGGAUACAGACAGGCGGUAGAGCUCAAACAUUCAUAC